CAGAGACCUGGGGUCUGUGGGUUCAGAUCAUGGGCACAGACCUAUUCACUGCUCAUCAAGCCAUGCUGUGGCAGUGUCCCACAUACAAAAUAGGGGAAGAUUGGCACAGACGUUA